ACCUGUGAUAGGAUGCUGUCUGUGCAUCACCUCCUCCCACCACCAGCCCCACGUUUCCCCUUUGUAUGACUCUGCACAAGGGCACAGAAUUUAGCCACCCUCUCUUUCAACUUUCCCCCUCUCUCCUUUCCCCCACUCUGUAACAAAUCAGUGAAAGGAGGGAAGAGAAGAGGCUCCAAUGACAGAUGGAGCUGGCACUAUCAUCUCUCUUAACUGUCAUGGAGAAAAUCACACGGCAGCCACUGAAAUUCAAAUUAGAGUUUUGCUGAAGCUGCUAAAACUCAUCAAAAGAUAUCUUUGAAGUCCACUGGCAGGCUGGUCAUUUCUUUUAAAUUAGUCCCUGUUGAAAAUGAAAUUGCAGGGAGUUGGUGUAUUAGCAUAUUGGAGUGAGAGAGACAGCAUAAUGCUGCCUUUGCAGGGAGCACAGGCAGUUUGCUCCCGCACAAAGCCACACUCAAACCGGGCUCUUACUGCAUUAGUUUAAAUGAGCGAGUCAUUUCAAAGCUCCCAUCGAGGGGCCGGGCUGGCGCUCGCAGGGAAGGUGGCAAAGAGAGGUCAGGGCUGUCCCCUGUCCGUGCCCUGGAGCCGAGCUCCGGCCGCAGCAGCGCUGCCCAUGCCAAUGAGGAGCUGCCAAACCGAUGGCCAGGGCAGAGGGACCCUCCCCAGCCCCAGCACAGGGACCAGCCUUUCCCAGAGCUGCUGUGGUGUUCAGGCUCAUCACAGCCCUCUGGGGGGGUGCAGGGCCACCAUCAGUCCCACAGAAGCAGGGACAGUCCCCUCCCCAGGCUUCUUUCACAUUGUGCUUUGUUCCAGCACCUGCCAGGCAGAGCAGAGUCAGCAUCCUGCUGUCCCACAGGCAGCUGAGCCCCAAGGAAGGGCUCUGGUGAACCCCAGCCCACCCUUGGAAAGCGGCAGCAGCACCAGCAGGAGCCCCAGGCACAUCUCUGCACAUCUGGCCCUCAAAAAGAGGAUCAUUGCCUGCAGUGGCUUCUCCUUGUCCCAGAGGUGCCUGUCAGAGGUUGGUGAGGAUUUAUCUGCUGCUCCAAGGGGACCUUCACACCAACUCACACAAACUGCAGAGCAUCCCCUCAAUGUCUUGCCCAAAGGAAAGAUCUGUCAGAGAGGCAAACACAGUUUCAAGUGUUCAUUAACAGCUUUAUCAUCCUUCUGGAUCAGCCUUCGUGCCUGGUGGUGAAUAAUCCAAGGUCCACUGAGGCUGUUGGAGAGACAGAAAUGGACUGACAGCCCCAGGAAUGCAGACAGGAGAUAAACAACACACAAAUGUGAGUGAGCAGAGUUUGGAGAGGCUGGAGCAGGGUUUGCAAACACUGGUGCAGAGCUGGUGCUGCACAGACUGGCUGGUGCAGAACAUCCCAAUUCUUCAUGCUGGAACUGGGUCACUGUUCCCCUUCCAGAAA